UGAAGGGCAGAGAGAGAGGGUGGAGAAGGGAAAAGAAAGGGGGAGAAAAAGGAAGGGAAAGGAGAGGAAAAGAGAUUUCUGACAUUGCCCUGAAUACGUUGUUGUUGUUCCGCGGUGUCAGGUCCGAAGUAGAUACCUGUUGUCCAGCCCUCUCCAUGCUGUGACUAUCCCAGAUGAAAACAUUGGAAUGUCAUUUCUAUAAUUACACUAACAGUGAUCACAACUAACCUCUGUAACAGCAUCGUAUUCUCUUACAAAUGAUGGGUGUCAGCACGGCCGGUUCCACCCCAGAAAUAAGCCAUGAUGCUUCUGCGGGGUUGCCUGUGUGCCUUUUUCUUCAAGGAAGAAUGCAAAAGCCAUUCUUGCCUAAAACUUAACUGUAGUAAUUCUUACUCUGAAUCUCGCUGUGAAAACUUAGUUUUAGCACGUGUCAGGGAAUGAGGUUGGUUGUUUUUUUCUAGCACCAAAUCAAACACCUCAUGUAGGAAAUCAGACCCUGGAAGUGUGCAAGUGCUGGAAAUCACUGAUGGGCCUGGGAUCAUAAUAUGCUGAGAUGUGUCAUUGUCUAUAACUUUCUUUCUGUGAAACUACUAUUUGACUAUGUUUUUCCUGAGUCACUAUAUCUGUCUUUAGAGACUUCAGGAGUUAGCUAAAGGAAGCAUAGAAGUUGUUUUCUUGUUCUAAGGAGUCCUGAGUCCUUUAAAACAUCCUUCAGCCUCCCAGCGAGCUGGAGGCUGGCUAAAGGGGGGGCGCCUGGAGAGGCUUGUGAGAGUUCACAGAAGCAGCAGUUUAAAAUGUGCAUCCUCUCAAUGUCGGUGCAGCAAGCAGCUGCUCUGUGUAUCACCGCCUCUGCAUUUGUAAUCAGUGUUGGGAUAUAUGCACAUCUUAAUCGGAAAAUUAUAUUUGUUUCCUGGUCCAGGAAAAGCUGGGGUACUUUUGACCUGUGAAGUGCAAGUGUUGGCACAGGUAAGUUUUUGUCCCCGGAACACCAUUCACAUUAGAGCACCUUGGCAGUUGUAAAUCUGUCAUCCUGCAGUGCCCAUGCUAAAAGCAGCAGAACUUCUGAGGUUAGAUAAUUAAACGCAGUAAUAUAGAGAUACCACUAAAUUGGGAUAUUUGUAGCAUUUGGGAAAAUAUGACAACAGUUUAUUUUGUGGCAUUUUGGUGCUUUAUGAUGAUUAUUUUCAAAAAUAAAUUAUGUAGUCAAAAUGAAUUAUGUUUUCUAUAGGAAAUUAAAAUUGUUGUGAAAAGUUUUUAGCAUUUGGGGACUUGCUAUACUUGUACUAUGCAUUGGAAGUACCUAUGCUAUACGUAUGUAAUUCUGAGAGUGAGAUUAAAAGUGCAUAGAUAUCUUCACUGUAAUUAGGCAAUUUAGCCUCAACACGCUGUAUAGCAUUCUUGUCAUUUACUUUAAGUUACGGGUAACCUCCAGGCUCUUGGUUAGUAUAUUAUUAAUGCCUCAUAAGUCAUUUAAGUUGGACUUUUUUUCAUGCCCUGUGGAAUCCGGUAGUGUGUGAGGUGGCGUGCAAUUAGCUCAGCACUAGACACUAGAUAGAAUAUUAAUGCUUCUAAUUAAAAUAUAAUGCAGAUCAACUUGGCAUUCAUUGAGAUGCUGAGACGGCAGUUAGUUCCUUCCUUGUCAGUGCACUGAUUAAAGAGUCAAGGCGACAUUUUCUGAGGCCAAGAACUGCAUCUUGGUUUCAGUCUAUAAAAAAGCUAGUCUGGCAGGGAAGACAAGAGAGAAAUACGGGUAGAUUGAAAAGUCUUCACAGAGGUGAAGAAGAUCCAAAAAAGCUUUCAAGAGAUUUUCUCCAGUAGCGAAGGGACAGUUUAAAAAGAUGCUUAGAGGGUGGGUUAAAAAGGAAAUCCAUUUUACUUAAAGCUGCAUAGGAAAGGUAUUUACGUUAUUACGUGUUCUAAGUUAAGGUAACUUUUGGAAGCCCGCACAGUUUCUUAACUGUUCUUCACAAACUUUCUGGAAUAAGAGAGUUUUCAUCCCCUGAUUAUAAUUUAUUCUUUGAACGAAGUAAAGUAGGAAAGUUGUCGAAAAAAGUCUUCUUUUUUUUUUUUUAAGUAACUGAAGACUAUUUCAAUGCAGUUGCACAAGGGAGAAGGCCAAUUUCUGGUGUUCCCUAAGUUUUUUAUUGUUCGAUUUUACAACCUCAAAAUAUUUCCUAUUUCUUUUUUUUUUCUCCACAAACAGCAUUUAUGUAAUAAAAUAAAAGGAGUGAGAAGUUUGUCUUAAGCAAACUUGAGCCACAAACUAUUCAGGGCUACUCUAGCUGAAAUAAAUGAGAAACAGUUCAGUGACUUCAGUAAGAAGAAAAUCAGGCCCAAAGGGUUCUUCUCUGUGGCCGUUUAUGGUAUUCAUGAAACUGUAGUUUUUAAAGAUUGGAGAAAAACUUCUGCUGUGAAUUUAAUUCUUUUUCUUCUGGUCUAUGCAUGGUUUUGGUGCUGAAAAUACAGGCAUCACUCCACAAUUAUACUUUUCAAUAAUGCUGGCCUCCUUUUUGGCUUCUGACACCUCUGUUAUGAUUUAAAAUUGCAGUUGUCUUUUUUUUGCUGGUUUAUCUGCAUCUUAUUUUCUUUUAGAAAAUUCACUGAAAAAAAACUGUAUAAUGAUUUUGAUAUUGAUUGUGUGCUUUUCUAAAUUGGUGGCAGGGAAGGCUUCUGAUAGAUAAGACUUCCAAAUGGUUUUGAUAUAUCUUUCUAUUCUUAGCCAAUUUUCACAGAAGAAUUUUUAUAAAAUGAGCAGGGUCAUUUUUGUUGACUGUGCACAUAGAUAUACAUUGGAAAUUUGUCUUCUGUUUCCAGUUUUUCUAGUUAAGGAGUUGACCUAACAAAAAAAAUAAGAUAUUUAUGCUGGAAAUGAGAAAUUUUUUUUCUGAAUGCUGGUAGAAGUGCUUACUUUAUAGCUAGAUAUAGUGUGAAUCUCCACUUGCUUGUAAAAGUUUUCUACUUACCUCCCAGAUUUUUGUCAAAUACUGCCACUUGCUGGUUUUAUUGCAUACCAGUAAUCUAGUGUAGCUUUUGCUUUGCUGAAGUAAUAAAAAAAAACUUUUUAAAAGAUCAAAUAGUUAACACUUUUAUCUUUUGUUUUUAAAAAAAAUUCAGAUAUAAGCUCAAAAAAAUCAGGAACAUAAGUCAAAUCCUCUUCAGUUUAGUUUAUAUCUCCAUGUUAACAUUCUGUCUCUGGAUAUAAAAUGAGGCAUUCAAGACAUUUCAAUAUGUCUUUGGAUACCUGACAAUGGAAAUGCUUUGCAUUGACUUUAGCAGACACAGAAUCAUGACCUAGUUUAUUAUUUAAGACCCUUUUGUUUAACAAUAGCGUUAACAGUUAAGAGGAACGAAUUCUCAAAAUAACUGAUAAAAAAGCACAAUAAAAGCAUAUAUUUAAAGUGGUUUUAUUAUAAUAUACCAGCUCAGGACUAAAGCUUAAACACAUCUGAUUGUUAGUCUUUUAAAGGCAAAAACAAAGCUCAGACUCAUUUUGAAGGUGUCUUAUUUCUGUUACAUACAUAGAGCGAGUAUCAUGGGGUAGCUGGAUGGCAUGUCAGCAAAUGUGCUCAACUCAGGGUAUCAGCUAAGUCAAUUAUUUAAAUUCAUAAAUGCUUGUUUUUAAACUUUUCUCAACUAUCCAGGAAAGCUUAUGCUAUACUCGGAUACAUACUUUUUGAAAUACUGCAUGCUUCUUCAUAGAUCAGUCAGAGGCAAUAUAACUUCUUCUCUGACCAGGGGCAUUCAAGAGUUUAUGACGUAGAAUCAUAGAAUCAUUUAGGUUGGAAAAGACUUUUAAGAUCAUCAAGUCAGAUUCAAAUAUCCUUCUUCCUCUCAGUUGGGAAAGUGAUGUUGAUUUCUUUAAAAGCUGCCAUUUCCGUUCCUGAAUAUAAUAUGAAUUUACAGUGAAAAUUAUUCUUUUACUGGUUACAUUAUCAGAAACAUUCCUUCCAAGUUCAGAGAAGAGUGUACAGUUUUCUGGAACAUUCUAGGAUAUCUUUAAUUGCCUCAUGUCUUGUAGACCAUCUGAACAUGCAUUGUUAGUUUCUUAUAUAAUAAAUUCCUGGGACACGUUCUGUAUAAAUGGGCAAAAAACAAAAGCAAAGGUAAAACACUUAUUAACCCUCAUUGGCUGUGAGUUCAGAUUUGAAAAGUAGAUAACACAAUAGGAUAACCCUCUUUUUAUCAUGGCUCUUUAAACAAUAUGCUAGAAAAAAAAAAGACAUAAAAAUGAAAAAUAAUACUAAGCAUUGCUUUGACAAGCUGCUUAAAAUGUAGGAAACCAUAGAUCCUUGCUCAAUAGCCAGCCGACGUACCUAGUGGAAGAGUUGGCCUGUAAUGGUAAAUCAAAAUAAGAAAACUUCCCUGAAGAGACUUGUCCCAAGGAAAAUGUACACGAACCAAUGAGCUCCUGGUUUCCCACAGGGUAAUUUGCCCUAAUAUCAGCAUAACGGGAAAUUGGGUGUUAUUAGUUUAAUCCCUUGCCUACACUGAGGAAAUACCUCACCCAGAAGAGAUUCCGGGCUGUUAUUUGUACUACAGCUGUGCCUGGAGGUCUCAGCCAGGAUCAGAGCCACCCAGCCACAUGUUUUACAGACAUAGAUGAAAACCAGUGCCUUCUCUGAAGACAGAUGAAUGGAGUAGGACUGUACCCAUUUCCCAGAUCGAUACCGUCAGGGUCAUGGGUGCCCUGAGCCCAGGGGCCUGGCUAUGGGGGUGCAGUGCCAGCCUCAGAAGAGCAGAGCUGGUCCCUGAGGAGAAGGAGGUUCUGUGGGGACAGCCAGCCUCCCCUGCAAGGGCAAACAGCCCUACUUUUAAGCUGUCAUUUCAAGCCCCAUUCCCAUGGACCUGCUCAGUCAUCCCAGGGCUGUGUCUGACCCUGCUUCCCCCAGUGAGCCUGAUCCCAACCCCAAACCAUGGGUCGACACCCUGGCCCAGCCUUGUGUCCCCUCAGUCCCCAGAGAGGUGCCCGAUGCACAGGGCUGGGGCUGCCCCAGUGCCCCCCGCCUGCCCUGCUCCUGGCUGGGGAGUGGGACAGACCCCAGCUACCAGUUCCUGCCCUGCCCUCCCAAGGAGCCCCUGCCACUCCUGGCCAAAGGGAUGCCAUAUCCUAGCAAGGGUCCUAGAGGUAGUGUUGAACAAACACUGUUGCACUCUCCAGAGCAGUGUAAAUGUCUUCUGUUCUUAAUUUUAAAAGAAUGAGUAUCAUCAGGAGAAACAUAGUCAGCAGAUCAAGGGAAGCUGCUUUCCUUCUCAGCUGGUGCAUGUGAAGAACACGUCCUGUUCUGGGCUCUCCAAUGAAAGGUGAUGAUGAGAAACUGGAAGGGGGAUCACCAAGAUGCCCAAGGGCCUUGACUACAUGACCUAUGAACACAGGCUGAGGGAUCUGGGCUUGAUUCAUCUGGAGGCUGGCCAAGAAGCCUUCAGACAUCCCCUCCAGCGGACAUCUCUGUGGUUUUGCCAUCAGCUGUCUUGUGCUUUGGAAAUGCCUGUUUUGCUGUUAACAAUAGCAUGAGCCUAGGUGACCAGCUUGGGCAAGAUGCCUCACGAGCCUAAAAGAAGUCGUCUCACAGUAAGAAGAACCAAGUUCUAAUGUGAAAAAGCUUCUAUGGCAGUAUAUGAUCAUAUUGCCCUAAGCCUAACAAGAAACUGAAUAGGUCUGGGUGUAUCGUGUAUGCGUGGUAAAGAAUAAACUUUUACAUGUGAUGCUGAAAAGGGAGAUCAGAUUGUCUGAAAUGUUGCCUCUCUUAUCUACAAAAUAUAUAUAUCACAUUGUGUAAACACAAGGUCAUAUACAAACUAUCUUCCUCUUUCUUGCUGUGAUGUCCUUAGCUGGCUGCAGAGCUUUCCCUCCCUAUUUCGCAUUCUGUUGUGCAAAGUGCCCUGGUCAUUUUAUUUUGUUUUCCCUAGUCCCCCAGCAGUCGAUCAGCCUUUGCUCGGGGCAGAAAGGCUGUCUAGAAUUUGUAUGGCUGCUGCUGUCUUGGUCAUUUAGGAUGAUCUCUAAGGAAUGCAAUUAAGAAGAAUGGCAUGCAGGGAUAAUGUACAGAAUUAAUUAUUUAUACCAUUGCAUCAUGCUGGACACAAUAUAAUCUCAAUAUGGGAACCCAAGCAUAUGGUAAAGUCAUAAUUAUGCUUAUAAAUCAAUUGCCAAUUCCCUGUGUAAUUACUUUUGUUUGUUUUCCAGGAAGAUGUUUUUAAUUAGAUGGUUUAAUGGUGAUAAUGAAAUCUAAACCAGUUAUUAACUCAUUGCAGGGGUAACAUGGGUUAUGUCGUGGUGCAGAUCAGGGUUACUAUUGAAUGUGACAGCAUGUACUGAAGGUCACUGUUCCUGACACAGGCAGGGAUGACCAGAAGCGUUAACUGACUGUUGCCAUUCGCCUCUUCAGCUGACUUGUUCUAAAAGCAUGUCGAGGCCUCAGUGCAGGCUAGAGGAAAGGGAAAAGCUUUCCAACAGAGGUUCAUUCUCAUUUGGCUUAUUCCUCAUUUUUGAGUCUAGGAACCCGAUUAUCAAUCUAUUUUAUUUUAAAUACACUGUGCACAAUACUUCUGUUGCACUCUUCAGGGCAAGGAAACACUAUUCGAUGUCUCCCUAGGAAGUUCCGAAAUGUUGGAACAAACUUCAUGGGCUUACACACUUGUGUAGAGCGGGAAGUGCGUCAUUUGAAGAGGCGGACGCACAUCCUGUGGGGAGAAUUCAAGGAAUCAGCAGCCAAGGCUUCUUGUUAAGAACGGUCUCUGAGCAUUUCUUUGUUGUUGAUGCCAUGUAUGAAAUAAAGUGAAAAUGUUGAAA